UACGUAGGUGGCGAGCGUUGUCCGGAUUUACUGGGUGUAAAGGGCGUGCAGGCGGGAGCGCAAGUCAGAUGUGAAAGCUCCGGGCUCAACCCGGAGACUGCAUAUGAAACUGUGUUUCUUGAGUGAUGGAGAGGCAGGCGGAAUUCCUCGUGUAGCGGUGAAAUGCAUAGAUAUGAGGAGGAACACCAGUGGCGAAGGCGGCCUGCUGGACAUUAACUGACGCUGAGGCGCGAAAGCGUGGGGAGCAAACAGGAUUAGAUACCCUGGUAGUCCACGCUGUAAACGAUGGAUACUAGGUGUGGGGGGACUGACCCCCUCCGUGCCGGAGUUAACACAAUAAGUAUCCCACCUGGGGAGUACGAUCGCAAGGUUGAA
rnacentral:rRNA from 1 species